UACAGAGGGGCAAGCGUUGUUCGGAAUUACUGGGCGUAAAGGGCGCGUAGGCGGCCUUCUAAGUCGAACGUGAAAUCCCCGGGCUCAACCCGGGAACUGCGUCCGAUACUGGAAGGCUUGAAUCCGGGAGAGGGAUGCGGAAUUCCAGGUGUAGCGGUGAAAUGCGUAGAUAUCGAGAGGAACACCAGUGGCGAAGGCGAGUCUCUGGACGACUCCU
rnacentral:rRNA from 1 species